rnacentral:rRNA from 1 species
GGUUAAGCGACUAAGCGUACACGGUGGAUGCCCUGGCAGUCAGAGGCGAUGAAGGACGUGCUAAUCUGCGAAAAGCGUCGGUAAGGUGAUAUGAACCGUUAUAGCCGGCGAUGUCCGAAUGGGGAAACCCAGUGUGAUUCGUCACACUAUCGUUAACUGAAUACAUAGGUUAACGAGGCGAACCGGGGGAACUGAAACAUCUAAGUACCCC